GGCUUCCUGGUGCUUACCAUAGGCUGGGUUCCUUACACUGACUAUAAAGAAAGAGGUCAUGGUUUAACCCAACCCACUUGUACCUCAGCCCAAGUCCUUUGCCUGGUCUCCAUUGUGAAUAGAAGGUCAUUG